UGCGUCGGGGUCGAGGCUCCAGCCUGACCAAUCCAGGGGGUCGACAAAACAGAUUCGGGACACCAUGCUACACGCAGGGCCUACCAGGAUGCAGAAACAGCAGACGGAGUCCGGGGAAAGCAGUGCGGCAUCCCAGCCUCAGGCCUGCCCGUACGGUGUUCGGGAGGGGAGGAGACCAAUGUGAAAGGAGAUGGUUAUAUCUCCUCGCGGCUCUUCUCUGAGAAAUGAAGCCAGGAUACGAAACAAUCUUCAAGAAGAAGCUGAAAACCGGAUAUGACAAGGAUGUCCCCAGAACACAGCAGGCAUCCUGAAGCUCUGCCUCCUGAAGCUCCCCCUCCCUCGGUGGAAGUCGGCUCAGGGAGGUCCUGAGGACAGGACUCCUGGGGGUUUGGCUGCAGAAUGAAUUAAUUCACUAGGACUUUAUAUAAUUUUUCAAAUCAUGAAAUUGCACAAUCUUUUGAAUAUGGAAUUGGGAGGCCUUUCAGUUCAUUCAGUAGAAAACUGGAACAUUUUUGAAGGGUGAUCUGCUCGACACCUUUCAAAGAGUACAAAACCUUGUGAAGUAGCAGAUGCAAUGAUUACCAAUGUACCUUAUAAAAUGACUUUCAGAGUUUGAGAUUAAAUUGGCUUUUCUGAAAUAUGUAAGUCUCUGGAAAAACUCAACAUUUCUAAUCUUGCUUUGGAAAGCCUUUAAGUAUGUAAAAAUCAAUUUCUUAUAUCUUCUCUGAAAUAAACAUGGAAUAUCCUAAGGUUUUAUUCAUGUUUCAUGAAUUUCACAGCAUUCAUCAUAUUUUCAAGUUAUUUUUGAUGCUUUGCAUUGUAUUAAAAUCUCUCUUGGAAUGAGAGGCCUGAAAAACAAUCAUAAUAUACUGUUGUUGUCUAACAAUAUAUCAAGUUUUUAAUGACUCUUACAAUGCAAUAUUUUUAUCAUUCUUGUAGUUUAUCCACAUGUAUUUAAUAUUACUAGCAGAAAUUUAGAUUUUAGUAAAUUAAUUCUGAUCUUUGUAAAAUAAAAUGCUUUAGUUUUCAAUCUAAAAAAAAAAAAAAAA
rnacentral:lncRNA from 1 species